GAAGAAGAAGAAGAAGAAGAAGAAGAAGAAGAAGAAGAAGAAGAAGAAGAAGAAGAAGAAGAUGCGAACAGGAAAAGGAGCAACAUUGGAGAGGAAAAAUCUGGUUUACCAUCAGACUUCUUUGACACUUCACCUAAAACUGAGGACAGUAUGCAAA